rnacentral:tRNA from 1 species
UGGCUUGUAGCUCAGGUGUGGCGUUAGAGCGCACCCCUGAUAAGGGUGAGUAAUGGUGGUUCAAGUCCACUCAGGUCUACCCA